AUUGAACGCUGGCGGCAUGCUUUACACAUGCAAGUCGAACGGCAGCACGGGCUUCGGCCUGGUGGCGAGUGGCGAACGGGUGAGUAAUAUAUCGGAACGUACCCAGAAGUGGGGGAUAACGUAGCGAAAGUUACGCUAAUACCGCAUACGAUCUAUGGAUGAAAGCAGGGGACUGCAAGGCCUUGUGCUCCUGGAGCGGCCGAUAUCUGAUUAGCUAGUUGGUGAGGUAAAGGCUCACCAAGGCGACGAUCAGUAGCUGGUCUGAGAGGACGACCAGCCACACUGGAACUGAGACACGGUCCAGACUCCUACGGGAGGCAGCAGUGGGGAAUUUUGGACAAUGGGCGCAAGCCUGAUCCAGCAAUGCCGCGUGAGUGAAGAAGGCCUUCGGGUUGUAAAGCUCUUUUGUCAGGGAAGAAACGGUAGAGGCUAAUAUCCUGUGCUAAUGACGGUACCUGAAGAAUAAGCACCGGCUAACUACGUG
rnacentral:rRNA from 1 species